rnacentral:rRNA from 1 species
GACGAACGCUGGCGGCGUGCUUAACACAUGCAAGUCGAACGGAAAGGCGCUGCUUUUGUGGGGCGCACGAGUGGCGAACGGGGGAGUAAAACGUGAGUAACAUGUCCUUGAAAGAGGGAUAACAUUAGGAAACUGGGGAUAAUACCGGAUAGAAGCUCCUGAUGCAUGGGGGGGGAUGGAAAGUGACGGCUGUGGGGGAUGGAAUCGAGGCUUAUCAGCUGCUUGGUGGGGUAGUGGCGUCCCAAGGUUUCGACGGGUAGCCGGCCUGGGAGGGUGGCCGGCCACCUUGGGCCUGAGAUACGGCCCAGUCUCCUACGUUCGGCAGCAGUCGGGAAUAUUGCACAGUGGGCGGACGCCUGAUGCAGCAACGCCGCGUUCGGGAUGACGUCCUUCGGGUUGUAAACCGCUUUCGCCUUUGACGAAGCCUGCGUGACGGUAAUGGGUAAAGAAGCACCGGCUAACUACGUG